rnacentral:rRNA from 1 species
UAACCUGCCUUGUAGCGGGGGAGUAACUAUUGGAAACGAUAGCUAAUACCGCAUAACAAAUGGAUGACACAUGUCAUUUAUUUUGAAAGGGGGCAAUUGCUCCACUACAAGAUGGACCUGCGUUGUAUUAGCUAGUAGGUGAGGUAACGGCUCACCUAGGCGACGAUACAUAGCCGACCUGAGAGGGUGAUCGGCCACACUGGGACUGAGACACGGCCCAG